AUACGGAGGAUCCGAGCGUUAUCCGGAUUUAUUGGGUUUAAAGGGUGCGCAGGCGGCCAUUUAAGUCAGCGGUUAAAUCGUGGGGCUCAACCCCAUUCUGCCGUUGAUACUGGGUGGCUUGAUUGCGGUCGAGGUUGGCGGAAUUCGUUGUGUAGCGGUGAAAUGCAUAGAUAUGACGAAGAACACCGAUUGCGUAGGCAGCUGACCAGACCGCAAAUGACGCUCAUGCACGAAAGUGCGGGGAUCGAACAGGAUUAGAUACCCUUGUAGUCCGCACAGUAAACGAUGAAUACGCGCUGUUUGCGAUAUACAGUAAGCGGCCAAGCGAAAGCGUUAAGUAUUCCACCUGGGGAGUACGCCGGCAACGGGGAAACUUAAAGGAAUUGACGGGG
rnacentral:rRNA from 1 species